CCUACGGGGGGCAGCAGUGGGGAAUAUUGGACAAUGGGGGCAACCCUGAUCCAGCCAUGCCGCGUGUGUGAAGAAGGCCCUCGGGUUGUAAAGCACUUUCAGUGAGGAAGAACGCCUGGUGGUUAAUACCCAUCAGGAAAGACAUCACUCACAGAAGAAGCACCGGCUAACUCCGUGCCAGCAGCCGCGGUAAUACGGAGGGUGCGAGCGUUAAUCGGAAUUACUGGGCGUAAAGCGCGCGUAGGUGGCUUGAUAAGCCGGUUGUGAAAGCCCCGGGCUCAACCUGGGAACGGCAUCCGGAACUGUCAAGCUAGAGUGCAGGAGAGGAAGGUAGAAUUCCCGGUGUAGCGGUGAAAUGUGUAGAGAUCGGGAGGAAUACCAGUGGCGAAGGCGGCCUUCUGGACUGACACUGACACUGAGGUGCGAAAGCGUGGGUAGCAAACAGGAUUAGAUACCCUUGUAGUC
rnacentral:rRNA from 1 species